GCAGGUGUGGUGGAAUGGUAGACACGUUAGUUUUAGGAACUAAUGGAGAAAUCCGUGAAGGUUCGAGUCCUUUCACCUGUA
rnacentral:tRNA from 1 species